rnacentral:misc_RNA from 1 species
AACGCACAUUGCGCCCGCCAGUAUUCUGGCAGGCAUGCCUGUCCGAGCGUCAUUUCAACCCUCGAGCCCCCCCGGGGCCCGGCGUUGGGGAUCGACCGCCGCACCGCCGGCGGCCGGCCCUGAAAUCGAGUGGCGGCCUCGCUGUAGCCUCCUCUGCGUAGUAGCACAACACCUCGCACUGGACGGCUGGCGCGGCCACGCCGUGAAACAAACCCACACUUAGAAGGUUGACCUCGGAUCAGGUAGGACUACCCGCUGAACUUAA